AUUGAACGCUGGCGGCAUGCCUUACACAUGCAAGUCGAACGGUAACAGGUCUUCGGAUGCUGACGAGUGGCGAACGGGUGAGUAAUACAUCGGAACGUGCCUAGUAGUGGGGGAUAACUACUCGAAAGAGUGGCUAAUACCGCAUGAGAUCUACGGAUGAAAGCAGGGGAUCUCAAGACCUUGUGCUACUAGAGCGGACGAUGGCAGAGUAGUGAGUGGGUGGGAUAAAAGCUUACCAAGCCGACGAUCUGUAGCUGGUCUGAGAGGACGAUCAGCAACACUGGGACUGAGACACGGCCCAGACUCCUACGGGAGGCAGCAGUGGGGAAUUUUGGACAAUGGGCGAAAGCCUGAUCCAGCAAUGCCGCGUGCAGGAUGAAGGCCUUCGGGUUGUAAACUGCUUUUGUACGGAACGAAAAGCCCCGGGUUAAUACCCUGGGGUCAUGACGGUACCGUAAGAAUAAGCACCGGCUAACUACGUGCCAGCCGCCGCCGUAA
rnacentral:rRNA from 1 species